CCAAUAGCGUAUAUUAAAGUUGUUGUGGUUAAAAAGCUCGUAGUUGAACCUUGGGCCUGGCUGGCCGGUCCGCCUCACCGCGUGUACUGGUCCGGCCGGGCCUUUCCCUCUGUGGAACCUCAUGCCCUUCACUGGGCGUGACGGGGAAACAGGACUUUUACUGUGAAAAAAUUAGAGUGCUCCAGGAAGGCCUAUGCUCGAAUACAUUAGCAUGGAAUAAUGAAAUAGGACGUGCGGUUCUAUUUUGUUGGUUUCUAGGACCGCCGUAAUGAUUAAUAGGGACAGUCGGGGGCAUCAGUAUUCAAUUGUCAGAGGUGAAAUUCUUGGAUUUAUUGAAGACUAACUACUGCGAAAGCAUUUGCCAAGGAUGUUUUCAUUAAUCAGGAACGAAAGUUAGGGGAUCGAAGACGAUCAGAUACCGUCGUAGUCUUAACCAUAAACUAUGCCGACUAGGGAUCGGACGAUGUAAAUAAUUGACUCGUUCGGCACCUUACG
rnacentral:rRNA from 1 species